GAACUAAAUUUGCCUACUUCAAUAAUAAAAUUUUCAAUUACAUCCAUAUUAUGUGUUAAAAUGUUGCAUUUGGCUGUUCAUAACAACAAAAAAAUUAAAUAAAUCAAUUCAAUCAAUCAAAAGAAAAGAAAGCCAAAGACACCAACUCAAGAUGCCAAACAAGAGAAGAGAGAUCCUGACAUCAAACAAAACAUGGACAAAAAUCCCGGCAAGAGUGGAUUAGCAGUUGCUUUGAGGUGUUGGUUGAGGCACCGGCGAGUCCAGGAGGCGGCAGCCAUGAGAGCAGUGAGUAAGGUUUGAGAUCCAGCAUCCACGAACAAGAGAGAGAUGAGAUCGAAUUUGAUGAGAGAUGAGAGAUAAGGUUGAAUUUGAUGAGAGAUGAGAGAUAAGGUUGAAUUUGACGGUGCCAAAGAUUGUUUGUUGCUUUUGAUGAUGAUCGAUGAUGAAUUGACAAUGAUUUAAAUUGAUGUUGAGGAUGAUAUUAAUUGUUAUUGUUGUUGAUGAUGAAUUGACGAUGGUGGAUGAUGAAUGAUUGAAUUGAUGUUGAGGAAGAGGAAAAUAGAGGCGGCAGCUGGGUGGGGAUUUAGGGUUUCUUUUCUUUUCUUUCCUUUUUUUUUUGAACUUUUGGCUUUUAUAUUUAUAUUUAAUAAUAAAAAUUAAUUAAUUAUUAAUACGGUAGUGCGGGUCCGGGUUCAGCUGAACCCGCA
rnacentral:lncRNA from 1 species